GGGUCGUUAGCUCAGUUGGUAGAGCAUCGGACUUUUAAUCCGCUGGUCGCAGGUUCGAAUCCUGCACGACCCACCA
rnacentral:tRNA from 8 species